UACGUAGGUGGCAAGCGUUGUCCGGAAUUAUUGGGCGUAAAGCGCGCGCAGGCGGUCCUUUAAGUCUGAUGUGAAAGCCCUGGGCUCAACCUGGGAAUUGCACUGGAUACUGGCAGGCUAGAGUGCGGUAGAGGAUGGCGGAAUUCCCGGUGUAGCAGUGAAAUGCGUAGAGAUCGGGAGGAACAUCUGUGGCGAAGGCGGCCAUCUGGACCAGCACUGACACUGAGGCACGAAAGCGUGGGGAGCAAACAGG
rnacentral:rRNA from 1 species